rnacentral:lncRNA from 1 species
UUUCAAAACAUUUCAUAUCCCACUGCUUUGCUUCCCUGCUCCUCUCUCUCUCUCUCUCUGGCGAUUCCAGAUCUAGAUCUAGGGUUUGUCUCCAAGGCGAUUUAAGAUCUAGCCUUUCUCAUUGACACCAGAUCGAGGAUCUUCAAGGUGGGUUUAUGGCAUCUUCAAGGUGAGUUUUGCCAUCACCAAUCUCCAAAGAAUCAAGCAAUCUGACCCAGGGUUCCAACUAAUGACGAAGGUCGACAAAUUAGAGUUUUGACUACCGAUCUACUUCUACAUGUAUGCUCUGCAGACUAUCAAGGGUUUUGAGGUUACAUGAUUAACAGAGGUGAAGAUGGAGUCACGAGUUAACAGAGGUGAAGAUGGAGUUGAAGGGGUUCUUCUACAUCACAGGACUUUCACACCUUUUGUUGGGCAUAAUUAGCCUUAUGGUCGAGUUUACUAUGAAGGAUUUUAAGAUUCCACGGAACCUGCAUUAAAGUUAGACUUCAUGCGACUUUUGAGCUGUUUGGUCCAUUCAACCAGUUUGAUUGGUUUACUCUUACCCAAAUUCAAAAUCAAGAUAGAACAUAACCCAAACUGACCCACUUGUAAAUAACAAUGGCAACCGGACUGGAAUCAAAACUUCGUUAUGCAUCAGUUCAUAUUCUGUCUGAUACCAUGGAAGCUGCAAGAAAACCGUCUGCUGCUGCUAUUGUUGGGGUUGCUCAUAGUUGUUAAAAGCCAUCGCCUCUUGCGCCUAGGCCCAUUUUUCAGGCGAGGCGAGGUAGUUGCGCCUUAAGUCGAGGAAAUUGCGCUUUAAUUCUCUAGGUGAUGCACAUUCCGGCGAGAUUCCUAGGCUUAAAAUUUAGAGCCUUCCGUUGAAAAGAAUCGUUUUGAAAGAAAUUGGGGGGCAUGAAGGCGUUUGACGGUUCCUUAAAACACGUCAUAUCGUUCCAUUUGAGUUUUUAGUAAUCAACAUUGACCAAGUAAUUUUGUAGCUGUUGGCUUUCUUUGUUACUGUGCAAUCUGGAGAUUGCUAAUGGGCUUCAGCCGUGGUUGGAUCAUCUCAUUUUUAAUAAUCUAGCAACUAAAUACUAAUGUCAUGGCAUUCAUUAGUGUUGUUUGUUACAUUUGUUUUUAACUGUUAUCAUUAAGUAGACAGUAGGCAAUACCAAUAUUGCUCAUGUCAUAGGACAAACCUAUGGUUUAGGACCAAUUUGACCGUUUGCUCUGUUAGAUUUAAAAAAGUUUUUGUGUUU